rnacentral:rRNA from 1 species
UACGAAAGGUGCAAGCGUUGUUCGGAAUGACUGGGCGUAAAGCGCACGUAGGCGGGUUUGCAUGUAGGAUGUGAAAGCCCCAGGCUCAACCUGGGAAUGGCACCCUAAACUACAAACCUUGAAUGCUUGAGAGGUUGGCGGAAUUCCUGGUGUAGGAGUGAAAUCCGUAGAUAUCAGGAGGAAUUUCGGAGGCGAAGGCGGCCAACUGGUGGUGCAUUGACGCUAAGGUGCGAAAGCGUGGGGAGCAAACAGG